CCGCCCGUCGCUCCUACC
rnacentral:siRNA from 1 species